AUGGGGAGCGAGUGGGCGGGGAGAGAGUGACGGUUGGAGGAGGAGGAGAAGCGCGGACAUGGCGGCGGCGGUGAGGAGUUGAGCAGUCGGGGAGGGAGCGGCCCCGAGAGGCGGGACAACUCGGCGCUGAUGGCGGAUCGGUUUGUUUCUGGUGGGAAAUGGCGUUGUGGCCGCACCUUCUCGAGCUGCUGGUGACCGGGAGCAGCUGUUUUGCAGAGAGAGA